CGGGUGCACUGAUCCAGCCGGGCCUUUCCCUCUGUGGAACCCCAUGGCCUUCACUGGCUGUGGUGGGGAAACAGGACUUUUACUUUGAAAAAAUUAGAGUGCUCCAGGCAGGCCUAUGCUCGAAUACAUUAGCAUGGAAUAAUAGAAUAGGACGUGUGGUUCUAUUUUGUUGGUUUCUAGGACCGCCGUAAUGAUUAAUAGGGACAGUCGGGGGCAUCAGUAUUCAAUUGUCAGAGGUGAAAUUCUUGGAUCUAUUGAAGACUAACUACUGCGAAAGCAUUUGCCAAGGAUGUUUUCAUUGAUAAGGAACGAAAGUUAGGGGAUCGAAGACGAUCAGAUACCGUCGUAGUCUUAACUAUAAACUAUGCCGACUAGGGAUCGGACGAUGUUAUUCUUUGACGCGUUCGGCACCUUUCGAGAAAUCAAAGUGCUUGGGCUCCAGGGGGAGUAUGGUCGCAAGGCUGAAACUUAAAGAAAUUGACGGAAGGGCACCACCAGGGGUGGAACCUGCGGCUUAAUUUGACUCAACACGGGGAAACUCACCAGGUCCAGACACAGUGAGGAUUGACAAAUUGAGAGCUCUUUCUUGAUUCUGUGGGUGGUGGUGCAUGGCCGUUCUUAGUUGGUGGAGUGAUUUGUCUGCUUAAUUGCGAUAACGAACGAGACCUUAACCUGCUAAAUAGCCCGUACUGCUUUGGCAGUUCGCCGGCUUCUUAGAGGGACUAUCGG
rnacentral:rRNA from 1 species